AGUGUGAGCCUGAUGUGAAUCCUGCCUAGCAACAGUCGCACAGCAGCCAUUUUGACGCUUGUUGCAAGUGUAAGCCUGAUAUGAAUCCUGCCUAGCAACAGUGGCACAGCAGCUAUUUUGAUGCUUGUUGCAAGUGUGAGCCUGAUACGAAUCCUGCCUAGCAACAGUCGCACUGCAGCCAUUUUGACGCUUGUUGCAAGUGUGAGCCUGAUAUGAAUCCUGCCUAGCAACAGUCGCACAGCAGCCAUUUUGACGCUUGUUGCAAGUGUGAGGCAGCAGAGCCAGAUAUGAAUCCUGCCUAGCAACAGUCGCACAGCAGCCAUUUUGACACUUGUUGUAAGAUUUCUUGCCGGGACAUAUGGAUGGUGGAAGCGGGGCUCGAACCUGGAACCUUCAAGUUCCUGGCACGGUUACUCUACCAACUGACAGAGCACAGCCUCCAGGGCCGCGGGGGUCGCUGGCGCCUAUCUCAGCUACAAUCGGGCGGAAGGCGGGGUACACCCUGGACAAGUCGCCACCUCAUCGCAGGGCCAAAUUAUUAUAUUUUUAUAAUUUGUUUUAUUAUUAUUUAAUUUUGUGUUAACUUUUUUGAUUUUGUGUUACAUUAUUUUUCAUCUUGUGUUAGUAUUUAUUUUUGUGUCACUGUUUUGUAUUACGGUAUUUUGUAUUAUUAUUAUUUGUUUUAUUUGUAUUUAUUUUUGUGUUAUUUAUUUCAUUUUUGUAUUGCUGUCUAUUAUUAUUAUUUGUUUUAUUAUUUAUUUUUAUGUUAUUUAUUUAGUUUUUGUAUUACAGUAUUAUUAUUUGUUUUAUUAUUAUUUAUUUUUGUGUUAUUUAUUUUGUUUUUGUAUUACAGUAUUUUUUUAAUCAUUUGUUUGAGUAUUUAUUUUUAUGUCAUUUUUUUUUGAUAACAGUAUUUGGUAUUAUUAUUAUUUGUUUUAUUAUUAUUUCUGUUAUUUAUUUUAUUUUUUUGUCACAGUCUCUAUUAUUUGUUUUAUUAUUUCUUUUUGUGUUAUUUAUUCUACUUUUGUAUUGCAGUAUAGAUUACUAUUUGUUUUAUUAUUUAUUUUCGUGUUAUUUAUUUUAUUUUUGUAUCACAGUAUUUUUAUCAUUUGUUUGAGUAUUUUCUUAUGUGUCAUUUAUGUUUUUGUACUACGGUAUUUUGUAAUAAUAUUUGUUUUAUUACUAUUUUUGUGUUUAUUUUAUUUUUUGUAUUACAGUGUUUCUUAUUUGUUUUACUAUUUAUUUUUGUGUUAUUUAUUUUUAUCUUCGUAUUACAGUAUGUUAUUUUUUUUGUUAUGUAUUUUUGUGUUAUUUAUUUUUUGUAUUAUUGUUAUUAUUGUAUA